rnacentral:rRNA from 1 species
UACAGAGGUCCCGAGCGUUGUUCGGAUUCACUGGGCGUAAAGGGUGCGUAGGCGGUUCUGAAAGUCUGAUGUGAAAUCUCCAGGCCCAACCUGGAAACGGCAUUAGAAACUACAGGGCUAGAGGCUUGGAGGGGGAACUGGAAUGCUCGGUGUAGCAGUGAAAUGCGUAGAGAUCGAGCGGAACACCAGUGGCGAAGGCGAGUUCCUGGACCAGCACCGACGUUCAGGCACGAAAGCGUGGGGAGCAAACAGG